UUGUUGCUUUCAUAUAGAUGCUCCCGAAGUGUCCCAUUGAUCAUAUAGUCAUAAACCAGGAUCAUUUCGCCUUCAUCAAUGCAAUAUCCAAUCAAAGAUACUAGAUUAACAUGGCGGAGUUGGGACAGCAUUUCUAUCUCAGUUUUGAAUUCGUGAAUUCCUUGCUUCGAUGAUGAAUCCAAACGUUUGAUUGCAACUGGGAUGGAUCCACAGCCAAUAUAUCCUUUAUACACAUUGCCGAAUCCACCGGAACCAAUAAAAUUUUCAUCAUCAAAAUUUUUUGUAGCUGCUUUCAUUUCAACUAUUGUAAAUCGACGGCAACGGUCGGAUGGCAGUGAUGAAACAAUUUGAGUGGACGGCAUGGAUUUGGCCUCA
rnacentral:misc_RNA from 1 species